GUGCCAGCCGCCGCGGUAAUACGGAGGGUGCAAGCGUUAUCCGGAUUUAUUGGGUUUAAAGGGUCCGUAGGCGGAUCCGUAAGUCAGUGGUGAAAUCUCAUAGCUUAACUAUGAAACUGCCAUUGAUACUGCGGGUCUUGAGUGAGAUUGAGGUAGCUGGAAUAAGUAGUGUAGCGGUGAAAUGCAUAGAUAUUACUUAGAACACCAAUUGCGAAGGCAGGUUACCAAGUCUUAACUGACGCUGAUGGACGAAAGCGUGGGGAGCGAACAGGAUUAGAUACCCGCGUAGUCC
rnacentral:rRNA from 1 species